GCCAAGCACUUUGCCAAGUCCUAAGUUUGGAACAGUACAGAGAAGGUUAGCAUGGCCCCUGCUUAAAAGGAAUUGAGUCCAUUGGAUGAAAUCCAUGUUGCU